GAUGAACGCUGGCGGCGUGCCUAAUACAUGCAAGUCGAGCGAACGGACGAGAAGCUUGCUUCUCUGACGUUAGCGGCGGACGGGUGAGUAACACGUGGAUAACCUACCUAUAAGACUGGGAUAACUUCGGGAAACCGGAGCUAAUACCGGAUGAUAUUUUGAACCGCAUGGUUCAAAAGUGAAAGACGGUUUUGCUGUCACUUAUAGAUGGAUCCGCGCUGCAUUAGCUAGUUGGUAAGGUAACGGCUUACCAAGGCAACGAUGCAUAGCCGACCUGAGAGGGUGAUCGGCCACACUGGAACUGAGACACGGUCCAGACUCCUACGGGAGGCAGCAGUAGGGAAUCUUCCGCAAUGGGCGAAAGCCUGACGGAGCAACGCCGCGUGAGUGAUGAAGGUCUUCGGAUCGUAAAACUCUGUUAUUAGGGAAGAACAAAUGUGUAAGUAACUAUGCACGUCUUGACGGUACCUAAUCAGAAAGCCACGGCUAACUGCGUG
rnacentral:rRNA from 1 species